UCCGGCAUGGUGUAGGGGUCAACAUUGGUGCUUUUCAGUGUUACGUAAUCAGGUCCGCUUGCGUAAUCUCAAUCGCACUAGCCCGGGGUUCGAUUCCCCGUACCGGAA